AUGCCAAUAACUUAAAAAUAAAUAAAGCUGGUGCCACCCUCACACACUCACUUUCAGCAACACACCCUUCUCUUUUUGAGAAUCUGACUUUAGACUGCUUUCAGUGUGAGCACACCAGUUCCUGCAGGGGCCUCCUGUCUUUUUUCUAGUUAUAAUCCUUUCUCCAAACUGCCGUUUUGCUUUCUGGGCCUUUAGAGACUUCCUCCUCCCAGUCUGAUGACAUGGAAUAACACCUAUUCCCUGAAUUGCUGCACGCCUUCCUCUUUAAAAAAAUUUAUGAUUGUUAGAAUCAAUCAAAAAUAAACAAUAUACUAAAAUCCUAAGCAUAAUUUUAGAAAGCAAUAAUC
rnacentral:lncRNA from 1 species